AAGAACAUGGCGGGCGCAUCAGAGCUCGGGACCGGCCCAGGAGCAGCGGGUGGAGAUGGAGAUGAUUCGCUAUACCCGAUCGCGGUUUUAAUCGACGAGCUCCGCAAUGAAGACGUGCAGCUCCGACUCAACAGUAUUAAGAAGUUAUCAACAAUUGCCCUAGCACUUGGAGUAGAAAGGACCCGAAGUGAAUUGUUGCCAUUUCUUACAGCCUCCUUUGGAAAAUCUGGCAACUGUGGAAGAGACUGUUGUUCGUGACAAGGCUGUGGAGUCCCUGAGACAGAUCUCCCAGGAGCAUACUCCUGUUGCUCUGGAAGCUUAUUUUGUACCUCUGGUGAAACGCUUAGCAAGUGGGGAUUGGUUCACCUCUCGCACAUCUGCAUGUGGUUUGUUCAGCGUUUGCUAUCCCAGGGCAUCAAAUGCUGUUAAAGCAGAAAUCAGACAGCAAUUCCGUUCCUUGUGCUCAGAUGACACACCAAUGGUACGACGUGCUGCUGCUUCCAAAUUGGGUGAAUUUGCAAAAGUUUUGGAAUUAGACAGUGUGAAAAGUGAAAUUGUUCCACUGUUCACUAGUCUAGCUUC
rnacentral:lncRNA from 1 species